UACGAAGGGGGCUAGCGUUGCUCGGAAUCACUGGGCGUAAAGCGCACGUAGGCGGAUUGUUAAGUCAGGGGUGAAAUCCUGGAGCUCAACUCCAGAACUGCCUUUGAUACUGGCGAUCUCGAGUCCGGGAGAGGUGAGUGGAACUGCGAGUGUAGAGGUGAAAUUCGUAGAUAUUCGCAAGAACACCAGUGGCGAAGGCGGCUCACUGGCCCGGUACUGACGCUGAGGCACGAAAGCUAGGGGAGCAAACAGG
rnacentral:rRNA from 1 species